AGCACCAUCCAACACCGACACCAAGAGCGCUCCACAUGUGCCCGCUUUAGCGCUGGACGGGGCACGGCGAGCAGCAGGACAACGCUAACGAGAGGAGAGAGGAGAGAGUCUGAGCAUGCUGACAUGACAGUAAGAGCAGGUGACAUGAAGACGAAUGAGAAAUAAAAUAGGAGAUUAGAAGGAGAGAGGGCUGGAGAAGAGAAGUACAAUAAGUGGAAAAGCUCACAUGAAUGCGCCUUUACUGAAUGGAAUACGGUAUUCCAAGAUCAAGCAUCUCCACGAUUAAGAAGCAUAAUGAAACAAUAAAGAAGUAAAGGUGCUCGGGUGGUCAGCUGUCUAUGAACCUGAGUUAUGAUUGGCUGAGACCCUGCAAUGGAUUGGCAUCCUGUCCAGGGUUUGUUAGUGCAUGGCACCCAGUGAUUCAGAGGAAACCGGACCCACAGCGACCAUGACCAAGAUAAAGCAGUGAUAAAACAG